GAUGAACGCUGGCGGCGUGCCUAAUACAUGCAAGUCGAGCGAACGGACUAGAAUCUUGCUUCUCUGAUGUUAGCGUCGGUUGUGUUAGUAACACGUGGAUUACCUACCUAUAAGACUGGGAUAACUUCGGGAAACCGUAGCUAAUACCGGUUAAUAUUUUGAACCGCAUGGUUCAAAAGUGAAAUACGGUCUUGCUGUCACUUAUAGAUGGAUCAGCGCUGCAUUAGCUAGUUGGUAAGGUAACGGCUUACCAAGGCAACGAUGCAUAUCCGACCUGAGAGGGUGAUCGGCGACACUGGAGCAGAGGCACGAUCCAGACACCUACGGGAGGCAGCAGUAGGGAAUCGUACGCGAUGGACGAGAGCCUAACGGAGCAAAGCCGCGUGAGUGAUGAAGGUCUUCGGAUCGGAGAACUAAGUUAUAAGGGAAGAACAAAUGUGUAAGUAGCUGGGCAGAUCGUGACGGUACCUGAUCAGAAAGCCACGGCUAACUACGUG
rnacentral:rRNA from 1 species